GAUUCCUCUCAGUUGCUCCAUGUACAGAGCCGUUGCGCCUUCUGCUACCUUGAACAUCCACUCGGUUGCAAAGAACUGUGCGUCCUCGUUGUUUGAAUCACCAUUGGUUGAGAUUCCUUCAGCUAGAGGCUCAAGCUGCUGAGGUAAAGUCAGGAGAUAUUAUCCAAUGCUUGUAACGUAAGCCUGAGGGUAUGAGCUGAAGUAUGGUAGAGCAAACACAGUUUGUUCCUCCACAGAAGACCAGAUUGGUAGGCGAGAUACUUCCCCGAGUCUUUGCCUGACUUUUGAUAUGAGGAUGUCAUAUACAAGUUUGUUCACUGUGUCCGCAAACGCAGCUACUCUCUGAGAUGCCAAAGGCAGUGCGUGGAACCUUGGAUCUUUUGACUGCAAAAAAAAAAAAAAACAGCAAAAGGAAAUGAUACAUAUGAACAGUGUAUAUUAAUUUAUGAAUCUUUGUCAAUUAAGACUACCUGUUCCAACAGGUUUAGGAGUUUGCGAGCCUUCUCCGGAACAUCAACCAACCGAAUAGCUGCCACAUCCAGGGAAGCUCGUCCAGCCAUAGACAAAUCUCCAGCUGUUUGUUCACUUGUCAAAUGUGACAGGUUCUGAUCCAGAUUUGUGCCAAAUAGUGAAAUAGACAAGCUGGAGUUUAGUCUAGCCAGAGUGGCUCUCAAAGAAGCUUCAAACACAGAAGACCUGCUCAAGUCAGCUUCUCACCGUCUUUAUAGGAGCUUUCGUCUAAUAUUUUAAGCCUUCUGGUGUUGUCAAUCGAGACAUGGUAACAUAAAACUGUCCAUGGGUAAAUACAGGCCGGGGAAGAUAUAAAGCUGACUUGCUUUAGGCUUUGGCCUUGACUUUUAUUUAUUGUCAUGGCAUAGCUAAGUCGGAUUGGGUAUUGCCGUCUACGAAGUUAAAAGGAUGUAUGCUGUCAGUUGGGCUUAGCUGUAUCCUAGGGAGUAAUAUUCGUUCACCAACUUCUGGUCCGGUCAUUUUUAUCAAAAAAAACAAAAAAAAACUUCUGGUCCGGUCAUAAUCUCCACUUCGACAAUCACCAAGCCAUGAUCCUGAUUAACGUUGCGCAGUGAAUUCAAAGGAGUAGCAUGAAUGUAGUUUACUCAAACCGUGCCCAAACUGAUCCGAUUCUAAUGUAUUUUAUAAAUUCCUUACUAACAUUUUCUUGUAUUCCUCCUGUGUAUUAAAAUAAUUUUAAAAUAAAAUCUAAAAAUUAAACCCGGCUGGAAUUAUUCAUACGUUAGUCUCCCAAUUAAUCUUGAAAUUUGAAUAGUUACAAAACAACUAAAAUUUUAAUAAAUCAACAAUUCCAAUUUAGUUAUAUAAUUAUAACUUUAUUUUUCUUAAUCUUAGGAAGAUUGUGAAUGAAUUUACUUGUUCCGUAGUCAUUUGUAUCUAAACCGAAACAUAUAGUAAAAAAAAAACUAAAUAUUAGGAAUUAGUAAAUCAGAGUAUUUCGGUUGGAAUGUCACGUAAGAUGAUAACUCGAAUAAUACUGAAAGUCUGUAUAGUAACUAAUUAUUUAAAUAUUCUAUUAUAUCAUUACUCAAAAGUUAGUUAUAGGAUGACAAAAAGUUUCCUUUUAGUAUUGUUAUGAUUUCAACGUCAAAAGCCAAAAACGCAAAGGAGUAGCAUGAAUGGAGUUUACUCAAACCCUGCCCAAUCUGAUCCGAUCACAAUUCUAAUGGAUUUUUCCACUUUUAUUUCAGUUAAAAGAAUUGAAAAAACUAUAUAAGAGGGAAUAAAUUGAAAUAGUUUUUUUUAUUAUUGACUGAAACAAAGAUAAUCAAAGUUGCGAAAGUACUGCAGAUAAAUAAGAAGUAUUUAAACUUGGAACAUGAAACCAUAACUGCUGGUAUCCAAUUUCUUGGCCAUCUUGGUAGAUGAGUGGGUCCUCUUCUUCGCCGAAGCAUCGGCUGGUUUCGCAUCAGUAUUCUUAUCUGCAUCAUUACUGCCUUCUCCAGUUUCAACACGAACAGUAACCGGACCACCAUCUGCCAUGUCAGCAUCAUCACCAUCGUUUCUCCCCUGAUACAUUCGGAAAGUGUUACAUACUAACAGACAUACAUAGAUAAUCAAAGGUUAGCAAAAUCACUCUUACCUUAACGACAAAGUCAGGAACUGGAACACGCUCAUGCUCUUAAGGAUGCGGGUGAUGGUGAGGUCUAAUGGUGUGCAGUGAAGUUAAACGUGCUAACUCUGACCUGGAAGGUGAAUGUUUUUCCUUCCAUGUCUGUGAUAAACAGCGGCACCUAAGAGUCCUCAGGAUUUACUCCUUCCUCAGCCUGUUCGUCAGAUUGAAAGCACCAUGUAUGUUAGCAUUUAUAUUUAAUAAUCCUUUAAGAAGACUAAUGCACAUCUUACCAACACUGACCGGCUUCACUUGCUCGGAGGUUAUGCAGCUUAGUCAUCACACCAUCAAAACACACGAAUGCACCUUCAACUGUGCUAUCAGCGAUUGCCAACUCCACACGAUAACUGACGGAUUUUACGGAAAAAAUGAAGACGUCCAUGCCUCUCCAAGGAUAGAAAUUAACGCCCUACAAACUUUCAGUUUUGAAUUAUUGCCUAUACACUAUCUAGCCCUUGAGUAAUUUGCCUAUAAUGAUUUCAAGAAUUUUAAUCAUAUUUUUCUUCCUCCCAACAAGCUAGGCAUUUCGAAUCGUGACUGUGACCAGUUUUACAAGUGCAUCACAUCCGUCUUCUCGAAGUGGACUUUUAUUUAAACGUCACCGUGCUAUCACAUACGAGUUCCUGGAGCUUUGUUUUCAAAAGUUUAACAUGUGUGUUAUAGGUUUCUACGCCGUUACUUUUCUGAUUUUAUGAUAAACAGGUUUAAGACAGAAUUUUUACAUAAACUUUGGUUAUGAUCUGGUAUCUGUAUCUAUUUUUUUCAAGUGUUUAUGCACCUCCCUACAGGGAAUCACUUCCAAAACAAACAACAAAAAAAAUUAACUAUAUGAUUUCCUACUUAUUUCUACCCAGAAACAAACUAAUAUCUUAAAACAUGAACGGUUGUUAUUGCAAAAAAAUCAAACAAAUUUAUUAGUUUGAUGGGAUUUAUUGUUUUCAAAGUCUAGCAUUUAUAAUAUAGAAUAAAUACUUUAAAAAUAUAGUAGAUCAAGAUGAGAUGGUCAACAUUUUAAGGAAAACAAGUGAAAAGAAAGAUGACUGAAAAGAAUAAGAGAAAUUCUUGGGUUCACCCCCUAGGUGAAUCUAUAGGUUCACCAACCAAUGAAAAUUGGUUAUUUUAUAUACAAUUUUUUCAAAAAAGGAACAAAAUUUUUAGAAUUUAUUUUUUUAAAUAAAAGGAUAAAAUAAAUAAAAAAACGUAUAAUAACAAUAAAAGAUGAUUUUUUUAAUAUUGUUAAAGCUGUUCAUACUAAACACUAAAUCCUAAACCCUAAACAUGAAACCCUAAACCCUUGGAUAAAUCCUAAACCCUUGGGUAAAGAGAUAUUCCAACGGUAUGAGUCUAUCCAUGGGUUUAGGAUUUACCCAAGGGUUUAGGGGUUUAGGGUUUAGUAUGAACGGCUUUAACAACAUUAAAAAAUUCAUUUCUUACAGCAGCUACUAUUUUUUUAUUUAUUUUUUAAUUUUACCUAAGGGUUUAGGAUUUAUCCAAAGGUUNNNNNNNNNNNNNNNNNNNNNNNNNNNNNNNNNNNNNNNNNNNNNNNNNNNNNNNNNNNNNNNNNNNNNNNNNNNNNNNNNNNNNNNNNNNNNNNNNNNNUUCUUCUUAAAUCGUUAUGGGCGUCAAUAUGCUUCUCCUUGAAGCCAGUUGCCUCCGGCGAUUUAGAAAAAAACUCAAGUUUUUUUCUGUAAGAUUUACAAGUAACGUGAUCUUAAUUAAUUUGUGAUCUUAGUCAUACGAUGUUUGCUUCUUCAUUUUGUUAAGCUCCUCGGUCUUUUUAAUCUGACAAUGGCUCGAACAAAUGCAGAUGAUGAUUUAAAGUCAAAGUCUUUACAAGCUGAGUUUGGCGAAAAGAGGAGCUUUGGUCGCGGUUUCUGUAUUACAGUCAAGAGAUUGCAACAUAUAAAAAAAUUACUAAUGCUCUGCUUCAUAGAAGGUAUGAAGCUACAUAUGGAGAAAUUCAAUGAUGGUAUUGUACUAAGAUAAAGGCUCCUUAGUAUAUUGAAACGAGAGUCUAUAGUGGGGACAUGUAAAGUUCCUAUGUUAUAAAUACCAUUUGAGUCAAAUAUCAUAUGUAAAUUUUUUCUUGAGUCGAUUUUAGUUUUCAACAAUGUUUUUGUUUUUAAAAAAUAGAUUAUUGUAUGAUAGUUUUAAGCAAUCUGCAGGAUAUUACUGAGAAAACAAAUCUCAUCCAUGCCCAACAGAGUGGUUAUUCCGUGUUGAUAUUGUUAAUAAAUGGAAAGAGUCUAACGGUUUCAGUGCUGCCCAGAUGUUUAGAGAAUAUCAAGAUGUCUGAUACGGCCUUACUGGUGAGAAGAGCAUUGUCUUUAAGCCAAUAUACUUUGUUUAUGGAUCUUCAAUAGAUUCUUUUGUGAAAAGGGGAUUAGAAGUCUUUUGGUUCAAUGGAAAAUUAGCUCAGCAGUCCAGUGAGAAAGUGUUGAAGGAUGCAAUGAAACCAUCACAAAACAGUAAGUAAAUUGAUAAGUUUCUGACAAAAAACUGUGAAUCAAGAAUAAAAUUAAAUAACUGUAUGAUAAUAUGACGUAUCAGGUUCUGCUUAUGUCUAUGAAAGCUGGCGUCGAACUGAAUCUAACCGCUUCUUCACACGUCUUCUUAACGGUACAGUUUAUCUUUACGAUUACGUUUAAGUUCUUCUUGAUCAUGAAGAGUUGAUGACAUAAAUGAAAAUUAAUAGCGUAGGGCAGAAAGAAUGGCAUGUGGAAGAAGCUUCAUUGUUAAAGUAAUACUAAAAAUUGCAUUCUCAUUGAGUUUCUUGCAUCGUAAGUAAUAUAUUUCUCAGUAACAUGGUAUGUUUUUGGAUGAUCCAGACCAGGUCACCUUCUACACUCCUGGGCGUGACAAGUCAGAUAAUAGGAAAACAAAAGCUUGCUACAUGUCUCUCUAAGGUAGUUUUGUUUCUUCCUGAAUUGGUCUAAACAAGCAGAAGAAGGCUAAGGGAAACCGGAACAUUAUCUUCUGGUUGGACACAGAGGUAAACCAAAUCAAUUUUUUAACCAUCUGAACUUUUUUUUCUAAUCAAACUGGUUUUACUUAACGGGGUUAUGAUUUUGUUGUAAUAUCUUUAAGCGCUUGGAAUGCAUUGGAUCGUUUGGUGCAAGAAAAUUUUAUGUAUAAGAAACCAGGAGAAGAAGGUGGUCAAGUAAAGUGAUGGAAGAUCUAACUCCAUUAAUGGAGCUAUAAUAGGAGGAAGCUUUAUGCUUGGAUCAACAAGUCUCCACCCAUAAAUGUAGACAAGACAAUCAGUUUUUUUUUUUUUGCAAUUAUUAUUUGUUCCCAAUAGUCCAAAAACUACCGUUGACGAAGUCUUUUUCUUUUGUAUUUCUCAUUCACUAUAAAUAAAAAUUUCAAAUUUCUUCUUGAUUUUGCCUUUAUGUGAUAGAUUAAAACAAAAGAUUUUGUUUGGUAUGUACAAGCAAAUGUUACUUUUAUGUUAGUUUCGACUGCGAUUAGCGUUUGAUGUUGUUUGAAAUGUCAAUUUGAUCUCUUUCUUUUGCAAUGGUGCAACUGAGAAGUUUCAUGCAGGCAUAAAAGUAUUCAAAUCUGUUUUAAAUUUGUGGCCAAUAUAGUGGAUAUUUACUCUUGGAUAUAGAGGAACUCUAUUAUAGAAGUAUACAUUGGAGCAAAUCCACCUCUAUAAUAGAGAUCUCUAUUUUAGAGGAAAAUAUAGAGAUAUACAUUGGAGAUGCUCUAAUAUAGUGGAUAUUUACUCUUGGUUGCAAUAGCUAAUGAUUCACGAUAUUGGUUGCAAAGGGAACAAUGGUACAUGAUCAAGCAACGGGCUAUUGGUGGCCACAAAUUUUUUUGUUAAAAAAUUAGUUUCUGAAUAUGUUCCAACUUAAAUUUUUUGAAGUGUGAUUUUACAAGUUUUCUGAAUAUUAAUAUAACGUUUGAAUCAUUGGAAAAUGGUAAUAAUUUCAUGAGAUUAACAGAGCAUAAACCCAUAUGAAAUUAAGUUGUGAGGGUUUUAGGAAAAUUGGAUAUUUAGUUCCAAAAUAGAGCAACGAUAUUAAGAUUAUUUUGUUUUUGUUAAAGAACAAUGUUAAGAUUUGUUAUCAUAUAAAUAUAUGUACUAAUAGUGUUGUCAUAUAAACAUAUGUACUUAUAGCAAAUCACACUUCAAAAAUGUUCAAUUGUAUCAAAAUGAUAGGAUACAUAUUUAUUUGUGUAUGUGCAUGACUUUUAUCGUAUCUCCCUUCAAAACUAUAGUAUGCAAUAAUGCUGACUUUCAUUUUACUAUUGAACAAACUUCCAAAUACGUUCCAACUAAAAACUCUAACAAUGUGAUUUCACCAUUUAUUUAUAAUAUCCCAUAAAAUAAAAUAAUAAAUCAAAAAGAACUAAAAAAUAUCCUAACAAACAAUGAUUUUAAACUCAUUUUCAAAUGGAAAUAAUGUUUCAUAAGCUCAAACCAACGAAAAGAUCUAAUCUCACAAAUAUUUUUUCUUUUGUGUUACCAAACUCAAAAACCAAAAAAAUAAUAUGAAAAUUAAUGGAAAAGCAAAAUGAGCAAUUAUACAUAAUCAAACAUAUAGUUAAAAAAGAGUAACACUAUCUAAUAAAUAAAAUAAAAUACAAAUAGCAUACAUAUUACUAUCUCCCAAAUAUCAACACACUUUUAAAUAAAGCAAAAUGGCAUCGAUACAUCGUCUCUUGCAUUUUUUAAUUAAAGAAAGUAAUUACAAAGUUUUGACGAACCGCAAUACACAAUAAAUCUAAAAAUAACAUAUGAUAAUGGAUUACCUCAAAUAAAUAAAUUUAAAAAAAAAAAUAAAAUACAUCGUCGCAAUAAAGAUAAAAUAUUAUAUCAUUCCAAGAACCACAACAAUAUAAUUAUGCAAUUUGGUCAACAACAGCUAAUUCAGCUCUCGAUAUCAUUAGAUAUUAUAUAAAUAAUGAUCACAUGUAAAUAAUGUUUCACAAAAGCAGAAAAUUAUGCUUUUGAAAAUAAAAAUAUGUCGAUCUAAACACUUAAUUACGUCAAAAUCCCGCGCGAAGCACGGGCUUGCCCUAGUAUUGCAUAACUAAGAGUUUAAUUACUUUCUCGCUUUCAACCUACAUGAAUUCUUAAGUUGGUGCAUAAUUACUCUGAAACUUGUUUUUAUCUAAAAAGUAUUAUUAAAAUAUAAAUUGAAAAUUGUUCAUUCAAUAAUAAAAUAAACUACAAAAUAUCAUUAGUUAUGAAUUUUUGAUAAAAGUAAAAAUUACAUUGAAAAAAAUGGAAACAUCUUCUAUUUUUAAACAUCAAAAACUUCCUUGUUUAAACCAGAUGGGGUAUAACUUUAUUACAUUAUAUUAAGAAAACAAAGAAACUUGUCCUAUGAUAGCAUCAAAACUUGGAAAUGUGUAAUACAAAUAUGACAAUGGCCAGCCGAACAAAUUAGUUAGCAUGGUCCUCUUCGUAGGGCACAAAAGCAUGUUUUUGAGAGUUCAGAGACUAAUCGAAACUGAUACGACGCAUCUUACAAACAAGAUUACCCGUAGGGAAAUCAAGUUCACUACCAGCGUCUGAUUUCAUCACAUCUUUGAGCUCAUCUCUUGGUGUAGCCACACACGUCUGGAAAGUUGCAAGCACAGGAGGAAUCGGCAUGGACAAGGCUGCAAGCACAUUGCUCAAGUACUCUAUAUCUAUACACAGUUGCUGUGCUCCUCGGUCUGAAAUGUAUUGGAUUCCUCUCAGUUGCUCCAUGUACAGAGCCGUUGCGCCUUCUGCUACCUUGAACAUCCACUCGGUUGCAAAGAACUGUGCGUCCUCGUUGUUUGAAUCACCAUUGGUUGAGAUUCCUUCAGCUAGAGGCUCAAGCUGCUGAGGUAAAGUCAGGAGAUAUUAUCCAACGCUUGUAACGUAAGCCUGAGGGUAUGAGCUGAAGUUUGGUAGAGCAAACGCAGUUUGUUCCUCCACAGAAGACCAGAUUGGUAGGCGAGAUACUUCCCCGAGUCUUUGCCUGACUUUUGAUAUGAGGAUGUCAUAUACAAGUUUGUUCACUGUGUCCUCAAACGCAGCUACUCUCUGAGAUGCCAAAGGCAGUGCGUGGAACCUUGGAUCUUUUGACUGCAAAAAAAAAACAGCAAAAGGAAAUGAUACAUAUGAACAGUGUAUAUUAAUUUAUGAAUCUUUGUCAAUUAAGACUACCUGUUCCAACAGGUUUAGGAGUUUGCGAGCCUUCUCCGGAACAUCAACCAACCGAAUAGCUGCCACAUCCAGGGAAGCUCGUCCAGCCAUAGACAAAUCUCCAGCUGUUUGUUCACUUGUCAAAUGUGACAGGUUCUGAUCCAGAUUGUGCCAAAUAGUGAAAUAGACAAGCUGGAGUUUAGUCUAGCCAGAGUGGCUCUCAAAGAAGCUUCAAACACAGAAGACCUGCUCAAGUCAGCUUCUCACCGUCUUUAUAGGAGCUUUCGUCUAAUAUUUUAAGCCUUCUGGUGUUGUCAAUCGAGACAUGGUAACAUAAAACUGUCCAUGGGUAAAUACAGGCCGGGGAAGAUAUAAAGCUGACUUGCUUUAGGCUUUGGCCUUGACUUUUAUUUAUUGUCAUGGCAUAGCUAAGUCGGAUUGGGUAUUGCCGUCUACGAAGUUAAAAGGAUGUAUGCUGUCAGUUGGGCUUAGCUGUAUCCUAGGGAGUAAUAUUCGUUCACCAACUUCUGUCCGGUCAUUUUUAUCAAAAAAAACAAAAAAAAAACUUCUGGUCCGGUCAUAAUCUCCACUUCGACAAUCACCAAGCCAUGAUCCUGAUUAACGUUGCGCAGUGAAUUCAAAGGAGUAGCAUGAAUGUAGUUUACUCAAACCGUGCCCAAACUGAUCCGAUUCGAUUGUAUUUUAUAAAUUCCUUACUAACAUUUUCUUGUAUUCCUCCUGUGUAUUAAAAUAAUUUUAAAAUAAAAUCUAAAAAUUAAAACCCGGCUGGAAUUAUUCAUACGUUAGUCUCCCUAUUAAUCUUGAAAUUUGAAUAGUUACAAAACAACUAAAAUUUUAAUAAAUCAACAAUUCCAAUUUAGUUAUAUAAUUAUAACUUUAUUUUUCUUAAUCUUAGGAAGAUUGUGAAUGAAUUUACUUGUUCCGUAGUCAUUUGUAUCUAAACCGAAACAUAUAGUAAAAAACAAACUAAAUAUUAGGAAUUAGUAAAUCAGAGUAUUUCGGUUGGAAUGUCACGUAAGAUGAUAACUCGAAUAAUACUGAAAGUCUGUAUAGUAACUAAUUAUUUAAAUAUUCUAUUAUAUCAUUACUCAAAAGUUAGUUAUAGGAUGACAAAAAGUUUCCUUUUAGUAUUGUUAUGAUUUCAACGUCAAAAGCCAAAAACGCAAAGGAGUAGCAUGAAUGGAGUUUACUCAAACCCUGCCCAAUCUGAUCCGAUCACAAUUCUAAUGGAUUUUCCACUUUUAUUUCAGUUAAAAGAAUUGAAAAAACUAUAUAAGAGGGAAUAAAUUGAAAUAGUUUUUUUAUUAUUGACUGAAACAAAGAUAAUCAAAGUUGCGAAAGUACUGCAGAUAAAUAAGAAGUAUUUAAACUUGGAACAUGAAACCAUAACUGCUGGUAUCCAUUUCUUGGCCAUCUUGGUAGAUGAGUGGGUCCUCUUCUUCGCCGAAGCAUCGGCUGGUUUCGCAUCAGUAUUCUUAUCUGCAUCACUACUGCCUUCUCCAGUUUCAACACGAACAGGAACCGGACCACCAUCUGCCAUGUCAGCAUCAUCACCAUCGUUUCUCCCCUGAUACAUUCGGAAAGUGUUACAUACUAACAGACAUACAUAGAUAAUCAAAGGUUCGCAAAAUCACUCUUACCUUAACGACAAAGUCAGGAACUGGAACACGCUCAUGCUCCUUAAGGAUGCGGGUGAUGGUGAGGUCUAAUGGUGUGCAGUGAAGUUAAACGUGCUAACUCUGACCUGGAAGGUGAAUGUUUUUCCUUCCAUGUCUGUGAUAAACAGCGGCACCUAAGAGUCCUCAGGAUUUACUCCUUCCUCAGCCUGUUCGUCAGAUUGAAAGCACCAUGUAUGUUAGCAUUUAUAUUUAAUAAUCCUUUAAGAAGACUAAUGCACAUCUUACCAACACUGACCGGCUUCACUUGCUCGGAGGUUAUGCAGCUUAGUCAUCACACCAUCAAAACACACGAAUGCACCUUCAACUGUGCUAUCAGCGAUUGCCAACUCCACACGAUAACUGACGGAGUUUACGGAAAAAAUGAAGACGUCCAUGCCUCUCCAAGGAUAGAAAUUAACGCCCUACAAACUUUCAGUUUGAAUUAUUGCCUAUACACUAUCUAGCCCUUGAGUAAUUUGCCAAUAAUGAUUUCAAGAAUUUUAAUCAUAUUUUUCUUCCUCCCAACAAGCUAGGCAUUUCGAAUCGUGACUGUGACCAGUUUUACAAGUGCAUCACAUCCGUCUUCUCGAAGUGGACUUUUAUUUAAACGUCACCGUGCUAUCACAUACGAGUUCCUGGAGCUUUGUUUUCAAAAGUUUAACAUGUGUGUUAUAGGUUUCUACGCCGUUACUUUUCUGAUUUUAUGAUAAAGAGGUUUAAGACAGAAUUUUUACAUAAACUUUGGUUAUGAUCUGGUAUCUGUAUCUAUUUAUUUCAAGUGUUUAUGCACCUCCCUACAGGGAAUCACUUCCAAAACAAACAAACAAAAAUUAACUAUAUGAUUUCCCUACUUAUUUCUACCCAGAAACAAACUAAUAUCUUAAAACAUGAACGGUUGUUAUUGCAAAAAAAUCAAACAGAUUUAUUAGUUUGAUGGGAUUUAUUGUUUUCAAAGUCUAGCAUUUAUAAUAUAGAAUAAAUACUUUAAAAAUAUAGUAGAUCAAGAUGAGAUGGUCAACAUUUUAAGGAAAACAAGUGAAGAAAGAUGACUGAAAAGAAUAAGAGAAAUUCUUGGGUUCACCCCUAGGUGAAUCUAUAGGUUCACCAACCAAUGAAAAUUGGUUAUUUUAUAUACAAAUUUUUUCAAAAAAGGAAACAAAAUUUUUAGAAUUUAUUUUUUUAAAUAAAAGGAUAUAAAAUAAAAAAAAACGUAUAAUAACAAUAAAAGAUGAUUUUUUUAAUAUUGUUAAAGCUGUUCAUACUAAACACUAAAUCCUAAACCCUAAACAUGAAACCCUAAACCCUUGGAUAAAUCCUAAACCCUUGGGUAAAGAGAUAUUCCAACGGUUAUGAGUCUAUCCAUGGGUUUAGGAUUUACCCAAGGGUUUAGGGUUUAGGUUUAGGGUUUAGGGUUUAGUAUGAACGGCUUUAACAACAUUAAAAAAUUCUUUUCUUACAGCAGCUACUAUUUUUUUAUUUAUUUUUUAUAUUUUACCUAAGGGUUAGGAUUUAUCAAGGGUUUAGGGUUUAAGGUUUAGUGUUUAGGAUUUAGCGUAUAGGGUUUAAUAUGAACGACUUUAACAAUGUAAAAAAAUUCAUUUUUAUUGCUAUUAAAUAUGCAACGUAAACACACAUAAAAAUGAGACAUCAUAUUUGAUAUAUUUAAAUAAAUAAUUUUAAAUAUAUUAUAUUCUUGAUAAUUUUAAAAUUACUUAAAAAGAAACUAAAUUAUUAAAAAAUUAAUAUACAAAUAAAACAAAAACAAUAUUUUGUAACAUCAAAAUAAUAAAUGAAUAAAAAUAUAUUAUGUUAAUAAAAUAGAUUUUAGAUUUUAAAAACUUCUAAUUCAUGUAAUAUAAAAAAUUUCAAAAUUUGUUUAUUACAAUUAAUAUUUUACCAUUAGAUAUAUUAAAUAAUAUUCUAGAUCGAUAUUCAAUUUUCAGUUUUUAACUAUUACACGUAAAAAAUAUUAUUAAGUACGUUUUUUUGAAAAGGUGGUUUUAUAUUUUAAGUAGGUUAUUGGAGUACUUUUUUUUUUGAAUUUAUUCGAGAUGAGAUUUCGAUCUUUUAAACUACGAUAAUUUAUGUUCUAUACAUAAUUAUAUAUUUUUUACGUAACUCUAAAAUCUCGGACUUGAUUCUUCAUAUUUUAUUAGUUAAUUGUGUUACAUAUAAUAGAAAUACUUACUUCAAACUUAAAAUAUAAAAAAAUCAAAUUUAAAUUAUUAUAUAAUUUAAUAUACAAGAAUUCACAUACAAAAAAAAUGAUAAAUAUAAUAAUUUAAAUAUUAUCCGCGCGUAGCGCGGAGAAAGGAUCUAGUUAAAAUGAUGACUAAAUAACAAAAAAGUUAAUAACAAAUCUAUGUUUUUUAGUUUUAUUUUCCUUUAAGUCUUGUUUAUUGAAGUUUGAUUAGUUAUCGUUAUCUUUUAUUCAUUCCAUAUUAAAUAAUGAAAUAUUUAAGAUCUAGUUUUUUUUGUUUAAAAAUAAUUCUACAAGUUUUAUACACUUGGACAUCAAGGAACGACUAGCUUCAAUUUCAGUCUCAAGUUGCUCGUUUGGAAACAACAAGCUAUACUUAGAUAAAUCGUCAUAUUUAACUGGAUUAUCAUUGGCAUGCACGUCAAACUAUAGGUACAUUAAUUUUCAUAAAGUUGAUAUGGAGAAGUUUUUUUCAUCGUUUAUUUUAUGAUGCUUAAACUUUAAAUUCACACGUACAUUUAUUUAUUCUCAUUCUUGAUUUCCCUCGAACGCUGGAUCUUUUUUAGCUUGCUACGGAUUUUCUUGUCUCUGACUAAACGUGGGUGUUAUGAAAAUAGUAAACCUAUUCUAAAAUACGAUAAUAAAUAACCAUUAGACUUAAUAAUUAGAACAACAAAUAUAUUUAAUAUACUACCACAACAAAAUAUAUAGUCUAGUCAACCUUUUUAUUCCUAGACUACUAAUUUGAGAUAUAUUCAAAAUUAAUGGUAAUUGAACAAUUACCAAAAUAUUACAGUCAAAUUAUUUUUUACCAUACUACUAUAUGAAAUAUGUUGAAAAUUAAUGGUAAUUGAAUACAUUCCUAACGUUGUCCAUUUUGUGUUCUUGACUCUUCCUCUCAACUAUCUGUAUAUAUAAGAUUACAAGUGCAUGACUAUAUUUCAACAUCACAAAACAAAUAAAAGAUAAAACUAAAAGCGACAGCCAUGGGAACACCAAAACUGAAGUUGGCUGUCGAGGAGUUGGAGAUGGAUCAUCUCAUGCUCCAGAUCCAAAAUGGUAGAAUGCUUGAUGACCUUUCUCAAACCGAGACUGAGAAGUUAAAGUCAUAUGCAAGUAAGAAGUUCCAAACUCUUAUGGGUGAGAUCCCAAAGGCACCAUUCCCAAUGAUACAGGGGGAAGUGUCUAUUUGAUGGAUAAGUGGAUCAAGGAUCCAUCUGAUAAGGAGGAUGAGAUGAAGAAGACCUGUGAAGGAGAGAGCAGCAAGUCUGGUGGUGCGGACGAUGCCUAAUGAAGCAGCUAGCCGUCGAAUAAUAAAAUUAAUGUGUCUUGGAAUAAAGUUGUUAUUGUUGUGUCUUUGCAUUCUCGUUUCAUAUUUCUAGUUUUUGUUGCUUUGGUCAUGUUUCCUGUUUUUUGUUUCUUGUUGUGUCUUAAAGAUGUGUCUUUGUUUGCAUAUGUUAAUCUAAAUAAUGCAAUGUUUUCCCUUUGCAAUCAUUAAAGAGCUCAUCCCGUAUUUAACACUGUUUUUCUAGAGUUCAACAUAAAGCAAAUUGUUUCAGAACAAUAAGCUAUAUAUAUACACAUUAAUUUUCAUGAAUAGUUUGAUAUGGAAAAGUUUUUCUCAUCGUUUCUUGUAUGAUGCUUAAACCUUAAAUUCACACGUAAGAUUUAUUAUUGUCUUUCUUGAUUUUCCCUCGAACGCUGGAUCUUUGGCUGCUUACUACGUAGCAUUUUUUUUUCUUUUUAGCAUUUACAUUAAGACUACAAAUUACUCAGUAUCUACAAUUUCAAGAGAUUUGUUUUAGAGUGUGUGUGUGUGUGUCCUAUUUUUUGCAGACGCUGGUCUUCCUAGGGAUGGCAAUUGGUACCACCCGCCCCGCUGCGGUCUCUAUCUCAUGUGGAUCUUUGCGGGUCAGCCCGCCAUGACCCGCGGUACCCAAACCCGCGGGUAGUAAAAAGAUGAUGUUUCGUUGUGGUGAGAAGAUUAUGUUUCCACAUGUUUUCUUGAACGAGGACGGCUCUCAACUCAAUACUGUAACUUAAUAACAGCAUGUGCACUACUAGGACUUAACAGAAACGAAGCAAACAAACUUCUUCCAUAUAAAGUAGGACUUAACAGAAACGCAUCAUUGCUUACAGAGAAAGGAAGGUAAAUUCUAUCUCCUACAUUCAAGGACCCCUUGGCUGCCACCUUCAAACAGACAACAUCAGCUUCUUAAAAAACAGUUCUUGUCCUAACCAAGAAUUAACAAAAGAGCUAUUUACCCUUUUAAGUUGUCUUCUUUGUAGUUCAUCACCGUCACAAGUCACAUGCCCUUCUCUUUUUUAACCUGAAACACAUUUACAAAUCUCUUAAUCAUGUAACUUAAUGGUUCGAUCGAAUCAUCAAAAUAAAAUAUUUUAGCUGAAGAGAUCACGGACCUGUCUUAAACGAAAGAGUUCAUGUACGAGGUUUCUAGGUAAGUCCAGACGAACGAAGAAUCCACCUCAGCUCCGGUGGUGGGAUCUCCAAGAAGAGAAGCUAUGGGGUGGAAAGAAAACGGAGAGAAGCUUCACUGGUGGUUCGACGAAGAAGAGAAGCUCCGGUGGUGGCCUUAAUCAAAGAGAAGAAGAACCGGUUGGUGGUGAUGCUCCUCUGGUGCUCGACGGUGACUCGGUGGAGUCGUGGAGAACAUGAAUCGCCAUUUUCAUGAUCUCUCUCUUUUUUUCAGGUGGAAACAAAACAAAACAGGAAGUGGCGCGGGUUCUUUCUGCCCCACAAGACCCGCAAUAGUCCAAACCUUAAAGGCCCAAACCCACAUGAGACUUAACCCACGAGACCCGCUCACAAAUGGGCCUCAAUAUCUCUACCCAAACCCGCCCCGCAUGGGUCUUCUGCGGGCCCGGCCCGUGGGCAGCGGUUUACUUGCCAUUCCUAGUCUUCCCAUAAAUGUUCAAGUUAUUCACUCCCACCCAUUAGUCCAACGCUUUCAGUGUAAUGAUAAAAGAAAGCCAAAGUGGAGAGGGAUAGAGAGAGUAGAAUUACACCCCAAAGAUUCCAAUAGCAUUAAUCUUCUUAAUCGCUUCCCUCAUCGCUAAACCUUCUGCCAUUAGUGGUGACAUAACAAAGUUAGUGGAUCUUGAAAAUCUCUGAGUCUCUCUUGAAGUUUUGAUAGUCCAUCCCAGUCUAGCAGCCCCUGAUGUUUCAGUCUUGAAGCACGAUUUAACAUAUGUUUUUAAUAGGAAAGAAAUAAACCAAAUGUGGAACAUGUGCUAGGGGAAAACAAUGUACCUGUAAAAAUGGACUAGACACCACGUAGUGGCAGCUGAUGAAGCUCAGUUAUUAGCUCCGUCAACUUAACCUGAUUUUCAUUCCUGCAUUGAACCAACUGCCUCCUUAGAUCUUGGACCUGGUAAUUAAGCCUUUGAAUCUUAUUUUCUUGUGAGAAAAUUUUCUGCCAUAAAUAGAGAUAGUCAUAUCAUUAUUAGAUCAUACUAUGAAGGCAUAUGCGAAACUAAGAGUGGGUGGUUUUCAGAUAACUAUGGUUAAUGUAAGUUUCCUCAGAAUCAAAGCAGCUAAAGAGAAGUGAAACGGAUAAAGACAAACCUUUUCUUGCACAGACUCUUUGCCAUGUAGUAUAUGAUGUUGCUCUUAAUCUGAUUGAAUCAAGGAACGACUAAAGUUUUCUUAUAUGGAGAAGUUUUCUUCAUCGUUUAUUGCCAUUCUUGAUUUCCCUCGAACGCUGGAUCUUUCGUUGCUUGCUACGGAUUUUCUUGUCUCUGACUAAACGUGAGUGUUAUGAAAAUAGUAACCUACUAGGCAGUAACUAGCGAUGUGAGCGGAGUAAAAUAGUUUAUUAGAUUAUUUAUAGUAUGUUGUACUAAAAGAUUUGUCAUAUAGCUUUUUGGAAUAAAUAUUCAUAUAUCUGUUCGAAUUCAGUUGAUCUAUCGGGAUUUCACACUUUUAGAGUUAGAUAUUUAAAUCUUAUACAGAUAUUUACAAAUUUUGGUUUAGAUUUGGUUUCGAAUCUUUGCGGGUUUAGUUCGGAUUCGAGUUCGGAUACCCAUUUUAAUCAGGUAUUUUUUAACAAAAAUCUAAAUAUACUUAAAUGCUCAAAAUCCAAAAAUAAAAUAAUAUAAAACAUAAAAAUUAAUAAUGUAAGACUAACUAUUUAAAUUUACAUAAAAAUUCAUUCAAUUUAAAUAUUUGGAUGGAGAACAAAUAAAUAUUAUCAGUAUUUUUAACAUUUACUGUUAAUUUUAGAUAUUUACUUGUGUCUAUGUUGAUAAUUUUGAGAUACUUUCAUAUUUUUUAAUAUCUAAUGAAUAUAAUAUUUAAAAUAAUUAAUAUAUUUAAAUAUAUAAUUGAGAUUUAGAUAUUUUGGUAUUCAAAAUAUUUUAUUUUGGAUUAGAUUCGAUUCUGGUUAUCUAGAUAUUAAACUUUUAAUCCAUCUGAAUAUACUUAAUCGUUUUAGUUUGUGUUUAGUAUUACUUUCAAAUCUAGUUCGAUUCAGUUUCAGAUCCAGAUGAGUUAAUCAAAUAAAUUGUGUGUGAACACAUUAAAUUAUUUGCGGUAAAGUUAAAAAAUUAGUGUGUGAAUGCAUUAAUUGUUAAAUGAUUGUGAGGCCGACACGUCAGCAUACUCAAAUUGAAAUCAAUGUGAAGCUAUAACGUAGAAAAUAUAGUGUGAACGUAUUAAUUACAAAUGUUUAUCUUUUAAUAUAUAGGAGAUACUAAAAUACGAUAAUAAAAAAAAUAGACUUAAUAAUUAGAACAACCAAUAUAUUUAAUAUACUACCACAACAAAAUAUUUAGGGACAAACUGGUAACCACUAUAGGAACACUAGGAAUGAGUAGGAGAAAAAUGUAGAGAAAUAAAAUUAUAGGAAGAAAAGAAAGAUUAUUCCUUACCGAUUUUAAUGAGAAACAAAUUUGUUAUAUAUUCCUCUAGAAUAAAAGGAAUGAGAAGAAUAAAAAAGAAAAAUUAUUUCUUAUAAAUGGUAAAAAUAAUUAGAAAUAGUAAUAAAUUCAUCAUUUCCUUUCAUUCAGUGGUCACCAGUUAGACCCUCAGUAUAGUCAAACUUUUUCUUCCUAGACUACUAAUUUGAGAUAUAUUCAAAAUUAAUGGUAAUUGAACAAUUACUAAAAUAGUACAGUCAAAUUAUUAUUUACCAUACUACUAUAUGAAAUAUGUUGAAAUUUAAUGGUAAUUGAAUACAUUCCCAAAGUAGUCCAUUUUGUGUUCUUGACUCUUCCUCUCGACUCUCUCUAUAUAUAUAAGAUUGCAAGUGCAUGACUAUAUUUCAACAUCACAAAUAAAAGAUAGAACUAAAAGCGACAGCCAUGGGAAGACCAAAAGUGAAGUUGGCUUGGGUCGAGGAACGAAAGAGAAGAGCUACUGUUUGCCAGCGGAGAAUGAAAGAAUUGAUUCAAAUGGCUGAAGAACUAACCAUCGUUUGUGAUAUGAGUGCAUGUUUGGUCUUUUACAACCGUAAAAAUGGUAAGCUGGUGGUGUGGCCAUCUCUGGAGGAGGCUCAAUCUCUCAUUGACUGCUAUAACGCAUUACCGGAAACCGAGAGGAACAUGAAGGCGGAUGAUGAAGAGUCAUCAUUCAUCAAGACCAUUACCAAGGAGAUCGAGAAGAAACUAGAGCUUUCUCGGAAGGCUAUCAAGGAGUUGAAGAUGGAUAAUCUCAUGCUCCAAAUCAAAAAUGGUAGUAGAAUGAUUGCUGAUCUUUCUCAAACCGAGAUUGAGAAGUUAAAGUCAUAUGCAAGUAAGAAAAUUGCGUAUUAUGAUAGAGAGUUACGUAAGCAACAUCCGAAUACGAGUGGCAAUGAGCCAUUUCUUGAGGAUGACAAUGGGGAGAUGAAGACCUAUGAAGGAGAGAGCAGCGAGUCUGAUGGUGCGGACAAUACCUAAUGAAGCAGAUAGCUGUCGAAUAAUAAAAUUAAUGUGUCUUGGAAUAAAGUUGUUACUGUUGUGUCUUUGCAUUCUCGUUUCAUAUUUCUAGUUUUUGUUGCUUUGGUCAUGUUUCUUGUUUUUUUUUGUUUCUGUUUCUUGUUGUGUCUUAAACUUGUGUCUUUGUUUGCAUAUGUUAACCUAAAUUAAUGCAAUGUUUUCUAUUUCAAUCAUUGAAGAGCUCAUCUCGUAUGUAACACUAUAUGUUUUCUAGGGUUCAACAUAGCAAAUUCUUUAAGAAUAAACUAUAUUUUGAUAAAGCAUCGUAUUUAACUGAGAUUAUCAUUGGCAUGCAUGUCAAACUAUAGGUACAUUAAUUUUCAUGAAUAAUUUAAUUCUUUAAGAAUAAGCUAUAUUUUGUCCAACGUUUCUUUUAUGAUGCUUAAACCUUAAUUUCACACGUUAGAUUCAUUGUUGUCUUUCUUGAUUUUCCCCGACCGCUGGAUCUUUCGUUGCUUGCUACAUAGUAAAACUUUUUUUAGCAUAUACAUGAACAAUACAAAUUACUCAGUAACUACAAUUUCAAGAGAUUUGUUUAAGUGUGUGUCCUGUCCAAGUUAUUGACUUCACUCAUUAGUCCAACACUUUCAGUGUAAUGAUAAAUGAAACCAACGAGAAGAGAGAUAGAGAGAGAGUAGAAUUACACCCCAAGAUUCCAAUAGCAUCCUUAGCUACACAUACUUGAUGUAGUACACCUAUAAGGACAUCUAUAAGGACCACUCCUCUUUGAUUGCUUCUUCAAAGUACACAGAACUUUCAAGUGCGCAGUGUUUAUAAACAAGUCUUUUGGGGUAUUAGGUUGAUUAAAGAAUCUUGAUUAACAUUUCAAGCCUGUGAAGUGUGUGAGAGAAAGCUUCAAUCUGCACACACCAAACAUGUGAUUCAGAAUAUAGUACUCAUGAGGAUUCAGUAGGGUGAAAAAAAUGCCCUUCUACUGUAAAACUUUUUUGCAGAGAAAGCUAUGGGCGUUCCCCAGUCAAAAAAAAAUACGCUUCUAAACAAGUUUCAGAAGGAUAUUGCAACUACUUACCUGUAUCUACUGAGAGAUAUUCAGAGACAGACACAACAUAAUAGUGUUGUACAAGUUUUACAAGUUUUUCUGAAUAUUAAUAUUACGUUUGAAUCAUUGGAAAAUGGUAAUAAUUUUCAUGAGAUUAACAGAGCAUAAACCCAUAUGAAAUUAAGUUGUGAGGGUUUUAGGAAAAUUGGAUAUUUAGUUCCAAAAUAGAGCAACGAUAUUAAGAUUUUUUUUUUUUUGUUAAAGAACAAUGUUAAGAUUUGUUAUUAUAUAAAUAUAUCUAUUAAUAGUGUUGUCAUAUAAACAUAUGUACUUAUAGCAAAUCACACUUCAAAAAUGUUCAAUUGUAUCAAAAAUGAUAGUAUACAUAUUUAUUUGUGUAUGUACAUGACUUUUAUCUUAUCUCCCUUCAAAACUAUAGUAUGCAAUAACGCUGACUUUCAUUUUACUAUUGAACAAACUUCCAAAUACGUUCCAACUAAAAACUCUAACAAUGUGAUUUCACCAUUUAUUUAUAGUAUCCCAUAAAAUAAAAUAAUAAAAUCAAAAAAGAACUAAAAGAUAUCCUAACAAACAAUGAUUUUAAACUCAUUUUCAAAUGGAAAUAAUGUUUCAUAAGCUCAAACCAACGAAAAGAUCUAAUCUCACAAAUAAUUUUUCUUUUGUGUUACCAAACUCAAAAACCAAAAAAAUAAUAUGAAAAUUAAUGGAAAAGCAAAAUGAGCAAUUAUACAUAAUCAAACAUAUAGUUAAAAAAGAGUAACACUAUCUAAUAAAUUAAAAAAAAAAAAAAAAAAAAGCAUACAUAUUACUAUCUCCCAAACAUCGACACACUUUUAAGGAAAGCAAAAUGACAUUGUAACAUCGUCUCUUGCAUUUUUUUAAUUAAAGAAAUUAAUUACAAAGUUUUGACGAACCGCAAUACACAAGAAAUCUAAAAAUAACAUAUGAUCAUGGAUUAACUCAAAUAAAUAAAUUUUUAAAAUAAAAAAAAAUUCAUCGUCGCAAUAAAGAUAAAAUAUUAUAUCAUUCCAAGAAUCACAACAAUAUAAUUAUGCAAUUUGGUCAACAACAGCUAAUUCAGCUCUCGAUAUCAUUAGAUAUUAUAUAAAUAAAGAUCACAUGUAAAUAAUGUUUCACAAAAACAGAAAAUUAUGCUUUUGAAAAUAAAAAUAUGUCGAUCUAAACACUUAAUUACGUCAAAAUCCCGCGCGAAGCGCGGACUUGCCCUAGUAUUGCAUAAUUAAGAGUUUAAUAAUUUUUUCGCUUUCAACCUACAUGAAUUCUUAAGUUGGUGCAUAAUUACUCUGAAACUUGUUUUUAUCUAAAAAGUAUUAUUAAAAUAUAAAUUGAAAAUUGUUCAUUCAAUAAUAAAAUAAACUACAAAAUAUCAUUAAUUAUGCAAUUUUUGAUAAAAGUAAAAAUUACAUUGAAAAAAUGAAAACAUCUUCUAUUUUUAAACAUCAAAAACUUCCUUGUUUAAAACCGACGGGGGUAUAACUUUAUUACAUUAUAUUAAGAAAACAAAGAAACUUGUCUUAUGAUAGCAUCAAAACUUGGAAAUGUGUAAUACAAAUAUGACAAUGGCCAGCCGAACAAAUUAGUUAGCAGGUCCUCUUCGUAGGGCACAAAAGCAUGUUUUUGAGAGUUCAGAGACUAAUCAAAACUGAUACGACGCAUCUUACAAACAAGAUUAGCCGUAGGGAAAUCAAGUUCACUACCAGCGUCUGAUUUCAUCACAUCUUUGAGCUCAUCUCUUGGUGUAGCCAAACACGUCUGGAAAGUUGCAAGCACAGGCGGAAUCGGCAUGGACAAGGCCGCAAGCACAUUGCUCAAGUACUCUAUAUCUACACACAGUUGCUGUGCUCCUCGGUCUGAAAUGUAUUGGAUUCCUCUCAGUUGCUCCAUGUACAGAGCCGUUGCGCCUUCUGCUACCUUGAACAUCCACUCAGUUGCAAAGAACUGUGCGUCCUCGUUGUUUGAAUCACCAUUGGUUGAGAUUCCUUCAGCUAGAGGCUCAAGCUGCUGAGGUAAAGUCAGGAGAUAUUCUCCAACGCUUGUAACGUAAGCCUGAGGGUAUGAGCUGAAGUUUGGUAGAGCAAACGCAGUUUGUUCUUCCACAGAAGACCAGAUUGGUAGGCGAGAUACUUCCCCGAGUCUUUGCCUGACUUUUGAUAUGAGGAUGUCAUAGACAAGUUCGUUCACUGUGUCCGCAAACGCAGCUACUCUCUGAGAUGCCAAAGGCAGUGCGUGGAACCU
rnacentral:lncRNA from 1 species